GCCAACUCAAUGUCUCGCUCGUAACCUGGACUGCUCUAGUUUCCCUUUUUGUUUUCCCAUGGACACCAGACAGCCAUAGCCAUGUGAAUUAGACUUGUGCGUUUUACGUUGAUCCCGAUACAAAAGCGCAACAUAAUACCGAAGAUAUAUACAUUGGUAUUCUACCAAUGCCGGAAAGCUGGCGACUUGUGUGACGUUUGCUCCGACUAUACGUGAGACCUUUGCGAGCAAACCAACACUCGCGUCAACUAGGGCAAAGGCAACGGAUUUCGAAGCGUACAUUCCAAGUGCAGCAGUUCAAAUACCUCGUCGUUGUUUCGGAUCGGCUCGCGCAAUUUUUUACGAUCUGAAAAUUACGAGAGAAAUCGACGAGAGAGAAGAAUCGAAUAAUUACCUUUGCUGAACUUUCCAGCGGAUUCCAAUAGAUACAUAUAGCGUUGUGAGCCACCUCUUCGAUGCAGCCAAUGAGGCCCGAGCUGUUCUUCGUAUCUGGAGACGGCACAAAUUCAAAUAACAAUAUAUUAGUACAUGUCGAUUGCGUAAUACUGCACGGUUUCAAACUGCUACGUCAGGCAACGAUAAUAUCGUAGUAAUGAAAAAAUGGAAAUAUAUUCAAAUCGGACCGCGUAUUCAGGAAGGUAAGUUUAGUUUUCGUAAAUGGUCAUCAUAUUCAAAUACCUGCUACUGCUGAUAUUUGCAAUAAUAACAUUCAAAUGCGAUGAA